UGAAAAAUAAACAAAACAAAAUUCCUUGCUCUUGCUUGAGCACUUACUAUACACAGCAAAUCCCUAUCUGGAAUUGGGUGGCUUUCCCACUUGCCAAUUUACAAAAAGUAUAACUGCAAGACACCAUUCCUCUGGCUUUUCCUCCUCACUCUGCAGCAUGCUGAUCCCUUCUUUUUAAAAGCCUGCUAGCUAAUUGAUCAGAUAUAGGUGAGGU